GCUUUAUAUCCUCAUUCCCAUCUGUUCACAUUUUAUGUUUUAGUUACUAGGUCAUAUCUCUUGCAUUCAGAUUCACAAUACAUGAGUACUCCUUGGGCAUAAGCGUCUUAAUCUCUUACAUUUCAGCAGUGACUUAGACAUUCUAUAGAUAUUUUGUUUCUUUAUUUCAAAUCAUUGGAACUCUUGUUUAAACAAAAGGCAGGGGAAAAUGAGUUAGUUCUGCUGUAUUAUGUGCCAUGCUAAUAUUAGGUGGUGUGCCAAACAGUUACUUUAUGAUGUG
rnacentral:misc_RNA from 1 species